GGAGAGGUGUCGGAGCGGCUGAUCGAGCUGGUUUCGAAAACCAGUGUGCCCCUUUGGGGCACCGCGGGUUCGAAUCCCGCCCUCUCCG
rnacentral:tRNA from 1 species